rnacentral:lncRNA from 1 species
CCUCAACAAGUUCGUCAUAAGCAAUACCGUAUACAAGUGGAUUACGUCUCAUCCUGAUAUAAAGAUAAGUAUAACCUAACCACGAUACAGCUUCGUCAAUAUUAGUUACCGUUCCUAAAGAAACUUCAGCGUUUAAGUUGUCAACCAAUCUAUCGGUGAAACGAGAUUCAAUAGGGCUUUGUUGUGUUACAACGGAGAUGUAAUGAGAAAGUUUAUCAUGUGUCGUAAUUAUGUACGCGACUGCCGAACUUUCAAACUGAGGACGACCAGCACGACCGAAUAUUUGUAAAACGUCCAACACGCCAAGAUCUACAAAAGAACCCUUUUGUGGAUCAUAAAGCUGAGUUCCUUUAAUUAAUACAGCAUAAGCCGGUAAAUUAACACCCCAUGCUAGGGUAGCAGUACAGCAUAAAAUUUUAAGAAUACCCAUAGAAAACAAACGUUCAGUAAGAUGUCGGUCCGAUCGUAACAUGCCAGCGUUGUGAAUCCCCAUACUGUAUUUGAAAAGUUCUUUUAACUCUUUGUUUUUUGACUUUGAAACAUCUCUUUGAGCUAGACUAUAUUUUUCAUGUUGUGAGUUGUCCAACAAAUCAGCCUCUCCCUCAUGGAAAAAUUGUUCCCUCAACUUCUUAGCUGAAUUAAUGGUUUCCUUCCUAGAAUGUACAAAUAUCAUUACCUGAUGGCCUUCCUGAAUCAGUUUCAAAACUUUAUCAAAACAAGCUUCAUCAAUAUUUGAGUUUACUAUUUUAGGAGAACCUUUAGCACCGAUGAAAUGCUGUUCAAUAGGGCAUGGACGAAAUGCAGAUGAAAAAUAAAACAAUCCCUUGUACCUAUUGACGCCUAAAAAAUCAGCUACAUCAAGGUAGUUUGGAAGUGUGGCAGAAAGACCAACAAUUCUAAUCAUCUGUUGACUUGUUUCUACCAGCCUUUGUGUCCUAGCGACAAGUGAUUCAAUAACAGCACCACGUUCAUCAUGAAGCAUAUGUACUUCAUCAAUGAUAACCAAACGUACUUUCUCGGCUAACUGAGUGUCGCCGACGCUUUUUCUAGUAACUACGUCCCAUUUUUCAGGUGUUGUAACAAGUAUCUGAGUUUCUGCUAUUUCCGUUUUGGUUAGUUGCAUAUCACCAGUAAGUUCUCUAGUUUUCAAUCCCAACCAAGCGAGACGUUUUCCCAUUUUCUCUACAACCUCAGCAGCCAAUGCCUUCAUAGGAGCAAUGUAGACAAUCUUAAAAUCAUCUCUAUGAACAUCUAGAGGUUCCGAUUCAUCCAUAAGAUUCAUACUUUCUACAUAGUUGGAGAUUGUUUGCAACAUUGCGAGCAGAGCAACAUCAGUUUUUCCUGCACCUGUAGGUGCACAAAUUAACAUAUUCUCGUUUGUCUUGUAGGCGAUAGGAUAGACAAGCGAUUGGAUUCUGUUCAAAGUUUGGUAGCUAAGGAAUGUUUUUCGACAAAGAAUAUCCAUCGAAGAAAUUUCUAACAACUUUUCCCCUUGCAUUUGUGGAGCACGCUGAGCAUGAGGAACAAUAAUCUCUUCAUAUUUCUGGUAAUCUUCUCUUUCACUACCAGCCGGUAAUGCAAACUUUUUCCCAAUGACGCUAAUAGUAUUACCAAGCCUUUUAUCCCCAUACACAUGAGGAUAUUUUUCCACUUCAAAAACUUGCUGUCCAGUAAAUAAAGGACCUCUGUUAUCACGAGACCGACUAAAUCUUCUCGGCCUACUUUUUAAACUGUCUAAUAAUCCCUGACCAUGCGUAGCAGAAGAACCAGCUUCAGAGGUAUAGCCAUCAGAAAGUUGCGCAGCAAUUGAAGUAUCAUUUUGAUUCAUGUAUUCUUCUAUUAAAUUGGACGAAUUAGCGACGAUAUCUGAAAUCAAGUCAAUAUGAUCAAGUCCAACAAGAUUCAGUAAAUCUUCUUGAAUGGCACAUUGAUCUUCAGUCGCUUUUAGGCUCAUAAUGACUGCUUCAAAUAGUACUGAAGCAUCAAGUUCAGUACUUGAAGAUUGAGAAAUUUCAUUGCAGCAAUUUUGCAGCCAAGUUAAAUCUUUAAGAGCAAAUUCAUUAUUGUCGGAGUCAGUAACGUCCUCGGGAUUGAUUAAAUUAUAAUUUGUUUUCAAAAUUUCGUCAACUUUUAACGAUAAAGCACCUAGCUCAGCAUUCGAAUCACUCAGCGAAAAGCUAUAUGGAGUAUCACAAAAACUAGCAGGACCUAGCUUUUCUAAGUGAUUCACUACAUAAUUUAACUCAACUUCCAUGAAAACUGUAAAAGGAUAGAUCGUUGAAAUUAAAACCU